rnacentral:rRNA from 1 species
ACGGAGGUUCCAAGCGUUGUUCGGAAUUACUGGGCGUAAAGGGAGCGCAGGCGGUCUGGUCAGUCUAAAGUGGAAGCCCGGGGCUUAACCUCGGAAAGCCUUUGGACACUGCCAGACUUGAGUACGUGAGAGGAAGGCGGAAUUCAAGGUGUAGCGGUGAAAUGCUUAGAUAUCUUGAGGAACACCAAUGGCGAAAGCAGCCUUCUGGCACGAAACUGACGCUGAGGCUCGAAAGCGUGGGGAGCAAACAGGA